UGCAGGGAGGAGGAAAGAGUGGGGUGGGCAUCGGCGUAAACCCUGGCAUGAACAUCCAUCCACCAUCACUUCUUUUUAUCCUCGCUCACUGUUGUUGAUCGCUCGAGGAAGGAAGGAGGCGGAGUAAAAACACCCUGAACAUUUCCCCAUCAAUCGUUUCUGAGUGAUAGCUUUUCAAAACCGUCGCUAUUCUAUAUUUUCCUCUAAAAUGAAAACUGUUGUUUAGAGUUGGUGCCUAUUGCGGAAACGUGGACCUUUUUCGCACUAUUGUUGGACUAGCUAUUUCAAUAAGAUGUGUGAAAAAGUUAUUUUUUUCAAAUGAUGUUAAAAUCUAACGUAGUGUUUGCUACCACACACAUGUUUCAUGACAAUUCUAAACAAUUGUUGGAAGACCCUGUGCUCUGUAUUUGUAUUAGCCCCUGAAGUGCAAAACAUGUUUCAGUAAGAGAAAGUCUAGAAUCUAGAAUCAACUCUCGGAUAUAUAAGCUGAGACUUCAAAGGAGAGUGAAUUGGAAAGAGCUGUUCAGAAAGAGAGCGGUUUCUUCUUUUUGGAUUCUAGCUGCAACUGAAAAAUGAUGGGUACUUGGACCGUAUGCGCCCUGUUGGUGAUGGAACUGACUUGGUCAGUGAGAGCAGCAUUGGACUGUUACAAGGGAAGCAACGUUCAAGAAUUGCAA